rnacentral:rRNA from 1 species
UUUAUGGAGAGUUUGAUCCUGGCUCAGGAUGAACGCUGGCGGCGUGCCUAAUACAUGCAAGUCGAGCGAACGGACGAGAAGCUUGCUUCUCUGAUGUUAGCGGCGGACGGGUGAGUAACACGUGGAUAACCUACCUAUAAGACUGGGAUAACUUCGGGAAACCGGAGCUAAUACCGGAUAAUAUUUUGAACCGCAUGGUUCAAAAGUGAAAGACGGUCUUGCUGUCACUUAUAGAUGGAUCCGCGCUGCAUUAGCUAGUUGGUAAGGUAACGGCUUACCAAGGCAACGAUGCAUAGCCGACCUGAGAGGGUGAUCGGCCACACUGGAACUGAGACACGGUCCAGACUCCUACGGGAGGCAGCAGUAGGGAAUCUUCCGCAAUGGGCGAAAGCCUGACGGAGCAACGCCGCGUGAGUGAUGAAGGUCUUCGGAUCGUAAAACUCUGUUAUUAGGGAAGAACAUAUGUGUAAGUAACUGUGCACAUCUUGACGGUACCUAAUCAGAAAGCCACGGCUAACUACGUGCCAGCAGCCGCGGUAAUACGUAGGUGGCAAGCGUUAUCCGGAAUUAUUGGGCGUAAAGCGCGCGUAGGCGGUUUUUUAAGUCUGAUGUGAAAGCCCACGGCUCAACCGUGGAGGGUCAUUGGAAACUGGAAAACUUGAGUGCAGAAGAGGAAAGUGGAAUUCCAUGUGUAGCGGUGAAAUGCGCAGAGAUAUGGAGGAACACCAGUGGCGAAGGCGACUUUCUGGUCUGUAACUGACGCUGAUGUGCGAAAGCGUGGGGAUCAAACAGGAUUAGAUACCCUGGUAGUCCACGCCGUAAACGAUGAGUGCUAAGUGUUAGGGGGUUUCCGCCCCUUAGUGCUGCAGCUAACGCAUUAAGCACUCCGCCUGGGGAGUACGACCGCAAGGUUGAAACUCAAAGGAAUUGACGGGGACCCGCACAAGCGGUGGAGCAUGUGGUUUAAUUCGAAGCAACGCGAAGAACCUUACCAAAUCUUGACAUCCUUUGACAACUCUAGAGAUAGAGCUUUCCCCUUCGGGGGACAAAGUGACAGGUGGUGCAUGGUUGUCGUCAGCUCGUGUCGUGAGAUGUUGGGUUAAGUCCCGCAACGAGCGCAACCCUUAAGCUUAGUUGCCAUCAUUAAGUUGGGCACUCUAAGUUGACUGCCGGUGACAAACCGGAGGAAGGUGGGGAUGACGUCAAAUCAUCAUGCCCCUUAUGAUUUGGGCUACACACGUGCUACAAUGGACAAUACAAAGGGCAGCGAAACCG